CAGAUUGAACGCUAGCGGGAUGCUUUACACAUGCAAGUCGAACGGCAGCGCGGACUUCGGUCUGGCGGCGAGUGGCGAACGGGUGAGUAAUAUAUCGGAACGUGCCCAGUAGCGGGGGAUAACUACGCGAAAGCGUGGCUAAUACCGCAUACGCCCUACGGGGGAAAGGGGGGAUCGCAAGACCUCUCACUAUUGGAGCGGCCGAUAUCAGAUUAGCUAGUUGGUGAGGUAAAGGCUCACCAAGGCGACGAUCUGUAGCUGGUUUGAGAGGACGACCAGCCACACUGGGACUGAGACACGGCCCAGAC
rnacentral:rRNA from 1 species